GUCCGGGGACGCCCAGGCGGUGAGGAGGGGCGCCGGUGGCCACGUUGAGAUCAACCUGCUGGUGUAAAGCGCACAGACCACCCCCCCCACCCCCACCCCAGAGGAGUUUGCCUGCUACUGUCGCUGAAUGAUUGCGUCAUCGAAAGCUGGAAAACCACCUUGGCAUCCCUCUCCCACAUCUGACGUACCUGCCAUGACGUCAUAGCUCUGCGAAGGUGGAAGUCGAGGUUGGCGGGCUUUGAGGCCUCCUCUGUAAAAGGGGAACUUACCCAGCCCCUCUCAGGACCUCAUGGAGCCCAGAGGGACCAAGAGAGGAGCUGGAAAAAUAGAGGUAGCUGAGCCUCGGAACAAAGUCCCCCGCCCAGCACCCUCGCUGCCCACAGACCCUGCCCUCUACUCUGGACCCUUUCCUUUCUACCGGCGCCCUUCUGAACUGGGCUGCUUCUCCCUGGAUGCACAACGCCAGUACCAUGGAGAUGCUCGAGCCUUGCGCUACUACAGCCCACCCCCCACCAAUGGACAAGGACCCAACUUUGACCUCAGAGACGGAUACCCAGAUCGAUACCAGCCCCGGGACGAGGAGGUCCAAGAGAGGCUGGACCACCUGCUACGCUGGCUCCUGGAGCACCGAGGCCAGCUGGAGGGGAGUCCAGACUGGCGCCCAGGGGCCAUAGUGACAUGGCGGGGGCACCUGACAAAAUUGCUGACAACACCAUAUGAGCGGCAGGAGGGCUGGCAGCUGGCAGCCUCCCGGUUCCAGGGGACACUGUACCUGAGUGAGGUAGAGACGCCGGCUGCUCGGGUUCGGAGGCUUACCCGGCCACCUCUCCUCCGGGAGCUUAUGUACAUGGGGUACAAGUUCGAGCAGUACAUGUGUGCAGACAAACCCGGAGGCUCCCCAGACCCCUCUGGGGAGGUUAACACCAACGUGGCCUUCUGCUCUGUGCUACGCAGCCGCCUGGGGAACCAUCCACUGCUCUUCUCUGGGGAGGUAGACUGCAUAGACCCCCAGGCCCCAUCCAUGCAGCCCCCCACCUGCUAUGUGGAGCUCAAGACCUCCAAGGAAAUGCACAGCCCUGGCCAAUGGAAGAGCUUCUACAGACACAAGCUCCUGAAAUGGUGGGCUCAGUCAUUCCUUCCGGGGGUCCCAAAUGUCAUUGCUGGUUUCCGUAACCCAGAGGGUUUCGUCUGUUCCCUCAAGACCUUUCCUACCAUGGAGAUGUUUGAAUACGUCAGGUCUUCUGCCUCCUGGUCCCACUCCAGAAUGACCGUGAUGGCUGGAAUCCCUCAGUGUGCAUGAACUUCUGUGCUGCCUUCCUUAGCUUUGCCCAGAACACAGUUGUCCAGGACGACCCCAGACUCGUCUACCUCUUCUCCUGGGAGCCUGGUGGCCCAGUCACAGUGUCUGAACAUCGAGAUGCACCGCAUGCCUUUCUGCCUACAUGGUAUGUCGAAGCCAUGACCCAGGACCUCCUGUCACCCCCCAAGACACCCUCCCCAAAGGACUGAUGCUUCUCAGGGGCUGGUCCUGUUUCUGUGUGCAUAGAUAAAGGCAUAUUUCUAGGUGGUUC